CCAUGUGAACGAUGAAGGCCUUUUUGGUUGUAAAGUUCUUUUACGAGGGAUAAUUAUGAUAGUACUUCGUGAAUAAGUGACAGCAAACUAUGUGCCAGCAGCUGCGGUAAUACAUAGGUCGCGAGCAUUAUUCGGAUUUAUUGGGCGUAAAGCAAGCGCAGGCGGAUGUGUAAGUUCUGUGUUAAAUGCAGCUACUCAAUAGUUGUAUGCACCGAAUACUACAUGUCUAGAUUGUGGUAGGGAGUUUCGGAAUUAAGCAUGGAGCGGUGGAAUGUGUAGAUAUGCUUAAGAACACCAGAGGCGAAGGCGGAAACUUAGGCCAUAAAUGACGCUUAGGCUUGAAAGUGUGGGGAGCAAAUGGGAUUAGAUACCCCAGUAGUCCACACCGUAAACGAUGGGUAUUAGAUAUUAGGGCUUUAGCUUUAGUGUUGUAGCUUACGCGUUAAAUACCCCGCCUGGGUAGUACAUAUGCAAAUAUGAAACUCAAAGGAAUUGACGGGGACCUGAACAAGUGGUGGAGCAUGUUGCUUAAUUCGAUAAUACACGAAAAACCUUACCAAGGUUUGACAUCCCUCGCAAAGCUAUAGAAAUAUAGUGGAGGUUAUCGAGGUGACAGGUGGUGCAUGGCUGUCGUCAGCUCGUGUCUUGAGAUGUUUGGUUAAGUCCCGCAACGAGCGCAACCCCACUCUUUAGUUACUUUUCUAAAGAGACUGCACAGUAAUGUAGAGGAAGGAUGGGAUCACGUCAAGUCAUCAUGCCCCUUAUGCCUUGGGCUGCAAACGUGCUACAAUGGCGAACACAAUGUGUUGCAAACCAGCGAUGGUAAGCUAAUCACCAAAUUUCGUCUCAGUUCGGAUAGGAGGCUGCAAUUCGCCUCCUUGAAG
rnacentral:rRNA from 1 species